UGAAAACUCAAACAAUAUAUAUUGAGACAUGGGAAAAUGAGUUAAAAAUGAUUAGAGAAAAGCUUGAGACAUUACAACAAGGAGUUCCUAGGUUAAAGUAUUAUGAUUGUUCAAAAGUGAUCACUGAGAACACUUGCUUUUUCGCCGACCAGCUUCAAUAUUGAAGAUGCUUCAUUUAAACAGCUGAUUCCUUUGACUUACAGUCAUUCAAAUCUACCUAUAAUGAAACAAGCAAUUCUCAACUGGUAUCAAGUUGAAUUUCUCUCUGAUUCAAGUCUAUCAAUGGGGAACCGUUUAGCAUUAUAUUUCAAUUUUUAUAAGUUUGCGAAUAGAAGGUUUUUUCUUAUAUUAUGACUUGAUUAGGAGUGAAUAUGAGAAGGAUGGAAACUUACAUCGCCGGGAAAAAAAGAGAUUGAAUUCGUCGGAGAGACCAAGUCGGUGACAUUGAAACGCUUAAACGGGUCGGUUCUUCAAUCCUAAAUGAGGAUGCCUCUCAU
rnacentral:lncRNA from 1 species